rnacentral:rRNA from 1 species
AUUGAACGCUGGCGGCAUGCUUUACACAUGCAAGUCGAACGGUAACAGGCCGCAAGGUGCUGACGAGUGGCGAACGGGUGAGUAAUGCAUCGGAACGUGCCCAGUCGUGGGGGAUAACUACUCGAAAGAGUAGCUAAUACCGCAUACGAUCUAUGGAUGAAAGCGGGGGACCGUAAGGCCUCGCGCGAUUGGAGCGGCCGAUGUCAGAUUAGGUAGUUGGUGGGGUAAAGGCUCACCAAGCCAACGAUCUGUAGCUGGUCUGAGAGGACGACCAGCCACACUGGGACUGAGACACGGCCCAGACUCCGACGGGAGGCAGCAGUGGGGAAUUUUGGACAAUGGGCGCAAGCCUGAUCCAGCAAUGCCGCGUGCAGGAAGAAGGCCUUCGGGUUGUAAACUGCUUUUGUACGGAACGAAACGGCUCUGGUUAAUACCCGGGGCUAAUGACGGUACCGUAAGAAUAAGCACCGGCUAACUACGUG